GACGAACGCUGGCGGCGCGCUUAACACACGCAAGUCGAACGGAAAGGCCUGCUUUCCCUUGUGGAUUGCGGGUACUCGAGUGGCGAACGGGUGAGUAACACGUGAGUGAUCUGCCCCCAACUUGGGUAUAAGCCUGGGAAACUGGGUCUAAUUCCCGAUAGGACUGCAGGGUGGUGCCUGUGGUGGAAAACGAUUUUCUAGUGGUUGGGGAUGAGCUCGCGGCCUAUCAGCUUGUUGGUGGGGUAAUGGCCUACCAAGGCGGCGACGGGUAGCCGGCCUGAGAGGGUGGACGGCCACAUUGGGACUGAGAUACGGCCCAGACUCCUACGGGAGGCAGCAGUGGGGAAUAUUGCACAAUGGGCGGAAGCCUGAUGCAGCGACGCCGCGUGGGGGAUGACGGCCUUCGGGUGGUAAACUCCUUUCGACCGCGAGGAAGCCACCUGGUUGGAAGGGUGGUGACGGUAGUGGUAGAAGAAGCACCGGCUAACUACGUG
rnacentral:rRNA from 1 species